UACGUAGGGUCCGAGCGUUUGUCCGGAAUUACUGGGCGUAAAGAGCUCGUAGGCGGUGUGUCGCGUCGGCCGUGAAAACCUGCAGCUUAACUGUGGGCGUGCGGUCGAUACGGGCAUCACUGGAGUGCGGUAGGGGAGAUUGGAAUUCCUGGUGUAGCGGUGGAAUGCGCAGAUAUCAGGAGGAACACCGGUGGCGAAGGCGGGUCUCUGGGCGAACAACUGACGCUGAGGAGCGAAAGCGUGGGGAGCGAACAGG
rnacentral:rRNA from 1 species